rnacentral:rRNA from 1 species
CAGCAGCCGCGGGAAUACGGAGGAUCCAAGCGUUAUCCGGAAUCAUUGGGUUUAAAGGGUCCGUAGGCGGUCUUGUAAGUCAGUGGUGAAAGCCCAUCGCUCAACGGUGGAACGGCCAUUGAUACUGCAGGACUUGAAUUAUUGGGAAGUAACUAGAAUAUGUAGUGUAGCGGUGAAAUGCUUAGAGAUUACAUGGAAUACCAAUUGCGAAGGCAGGUUACUACAAAUUGAUUGACGCUGAUGGACGAAAGCGUGGGUAGCGAACAGGAUUAGAUACCCCCGUAGUCCCUGUCUCUUAUAC